UCGUUAGGUUCUGUUAAUUAGGUUUGUGUUACAGGUUACUUUUUUGUGCUAAUGAUAGCAACAAUGAUGUUAGACCUACCAUAAAACUGGUAGGUUAUCGGUUGCAUUACACCUACCAUAAGAUUCAUGAUUAGCCUUAUUUUAUGGAUCUCACUUAUCAUGCAUGGGACACGCCAGGUGGAAGCCACAUGGUUGAUGGUUGUACUUGCACAUAAAUCAACUAGCCAGAUUCAUCGUUGCAAAUGGUGGCUUCAUAUGUUCAGUUAGUAUUUAGGAGCGCCACAAAGGAUGUAAGCAGAAGCAGAUAGCACAGCCUGGAACAACGUGCUGAUUAAAUAAGUGAUUCCUUACACCAGCAAUCACCGACCGCCCUGGGGGUGCAGGUGAGUUUACCACUAACAAUGAAGACACGGCUGUAGCAGCAUGGCGAGGACAGUCAUCGUGUAACGCUGAUGCACAUGCAUGCAUGAUCAAGCUAUCUGGAUCGAACACGAAAAUUGUUCCCCAUACACCAUUCAUAGAUGUAGCAAAGGUGUGUAAGUGCUUCUACUUCUGCACUAUAUACGAGGGUAGCAAAAUGUGCGUGCUGAGGUAGACGCCAUCCAAGAGCUGCACUUGGUUCUGAAAAGAGGAGACACUGAAGCUUUCAGGUCAAUAUUCAGUCAUACACGGUACACCCAAUUAGCAAAGAAAGCACAUAAACAGUUCAGGUAGAUCGGGAAGACGGUUACACCUGUUACUGAGGACCGAAGGGUGAUCAGGCUACUUGUAACAGCAAAGAAAAUUACAGUCUUGUUGCUUCAAAUCUACACAGUGGCUCUUGUCAAAGCAACUUGUCGUCCGAAACAUUGGCGGGUGUUCACUUUUCUCAACGCAUUCCGUAGCUGAAGAGUAGCAAUUGCGGGCACUUGAGUCAGACAUUGUUGAUCCGGGGAGCGGAGUUGACGUUCUGUUCAAGAAAUUGAUCUAGAACAGAGUUUUUCUGCUGAAUACUCAUAGCAUAUAGCUAGUUAGGUACAUACUUAGAUCCAAUACCCUGUGAUUGGCAUCCGGUGUUUACAGGAUCUAUGUAUAAAAUGAAAAAAUUACUCAACUCUGAUGCUGUUCAGUUCAUUGGUUUACAGACAUAGUUCAGACACGCUAGCCCGCUAACUCGAAGGCAUGAGGUUGUUAUGUUUUUUUUUCUGUUUGAGAACUAUGAGGUCGUUAUGUAAUUCACAUGAAAUGUGCCUCAAACACAUGCUCCUUGUAAUAAUAUACUGGGGGUAUCGCUCCCUAUAAUUAAUAGAAUACCAGUUGCAGAAGCAACUGAAAUUUGCAUAUCAAGCAGAUGCCACCAGAUAAACAUGUCCCUGGAACCUCCAAAGCUAAGCCAGCUGCUCCUUGUCUCUCGUCGUUUCACUACACUCAUCGAUCUCAUGAUCUUGAUCUGAAACCAAACUACACGCUCGUGCAGAUGAGUUUGUUGCUAAUAAUUCAGACAUGACAGCCUGAUGAUAAUAUGCUGAACCCCUAACAUGGAUCUCGUGCAGUGGAUCUUGCUCCCAUGGCCUAAACAUGCCACCUCCGACCUCGAGGCUUUGACCUGUGAUUUCCAAAUGUGCCCACCAAGGUAUGUCACAGCUAAAUGCUAGGUUAGCAACCCAUAAAAUAAUGGCCUGAGCAUGCAAGAAGGAUCCACCAUCAGACGAAACCACGCU